CAGACUUUGAUUAUGGCUCAGGAUGAACGCUAGCUACAGGCUUAACACAUGCAAGUCGAGGGGCAGCAUCAUCAAAGCUUGCUUUGAUGGAUGGCGACCGGCGCACGGGUGAGUAACACGUAUCCAACCUGCCGACAACACUGGGAUAGCCUUUCGAAAGAAAGAUUAAUACCGGAUGGCAUAGUUUUCCCGCAUGGGAUAAUUAUUAAAGAAUUUCGGUUGUCGAUGGGGAUGCGUUCCAUUAGGCAGUUGGCGGGGUAACGGCCCACCAAACCAACGAUGGAUAGGGGUUCUGAGAGGAAGGUCCCCCACAUUGGAACUGAGACACGGUCCAAACUCCUACGGGAGGCAGCAGUGAGGAAUAUUGGUCAAUGGACGAGAGUCUGAACCAGCCAAGUAGCGUGAAGGAUGACUGCCCUAUGGGUUGUAAACUUCUUUUAUACGGGAAUAAAGUUAGCCACGUGUGGCUUUUUGUAUGUACCGUAUGAAUAAGGAUCGGCUAACUCCGUGCCAGCAGCCGCGGUAAUACGGAGGAUCCGAGCGUUAUCCGGAUUUAUUGGGUUUAAAGGGAGCGUAGGCGGGUUGUUAAGUCAGUUGUGAAAGUUUGCGGCUCAACCGUAAAAUUGCAGUUGAUACUGGCGACCUUGAGUGCAACAGAGGUAGGCGGAAUUCGUGGUGUAGCGGUGAAAUGCUUAGAUAUCACGAAGAACUCCGAUUGCGAANGCAGCUUACUGGAUUGUAACUGACGCUGAUGCUCGAAAGUGUGGGUAUCAAACAGGAUUAGAUACCCUGGUAGUCCACACAGUAAACGAUGAAUACUCGCUGUUGGCGAUAUACAGUCAGCGGCCAAGCGAAAGCAUUAAGUAUUCCACCUGGGGAGUACGCCGGCAACGGUGCAACUCAAAGGAAUUGACGGCGCGGCG
rnacentral:rRNA from 1 species